rnacentral:rRNA from 1 species
CCGUCGGGACACAAGGGCGUAGGGUGGAUGCCUCGGCACCAGAUGCCGACGAAGGACGUUGCAGGCAACGAUAUGCCUCGGGGAGCUGCCAAGCAAGCUAUGAUCCGGGGAUGUCCGAAUGGGGAAACCCGAUACCGCGUUGAACGGUAUCCCCCGCUGUCUUUGACAGCGGGCGGGAACCCGGUGAAGUGAAACAUCUCAGUAACCGGAGGAAAAGAGAACAAGUUCGUUGUUAGUUUUUAGGGCGCCGCGCAAGCGGCAGCGAGCACGCGACGCGUGCAAACGCAUCGCGCGUUCGCAUCCUAGAAACUUACAUCGAAUCAUUCCCCUAGUAGUGGCGAGCGAAAGGGGAACAGCCCAAAUUGCAUGGAGCGCAAUGGUCCGACCAUCGCUGUGCCGCAAGGCGCAACGGUCAGUAGGGCUACUGCACACGGGACGGUGAUGCUCCAUGUGAGGUUAUGCGCAGCAGGGGUCGCGUGCGUCCAGCCACGCGGAUUGGAAGGAACGCCCGUAAGGGCGAUGAUACGUAGCCGAAUCCUCUGGAAAGAGGAGCCGUAGCAGGUGAUAGCCCUGUAGGCGAAACGAAUCAUGCUCCAAUGCUCUGUUUGCGAGAGUACGGCGGGACACGUGAAAUCCCGUCGGAAGUAGGGACGACUACGUUCCAAGGCUAAAUACAUCUGGUGACCGAUAGUGAACUAGUACCGUGAGGGAACGGUGAAAAAUAGCCCGGGAGGGCGAUGAAAUAGAUCUGAAACCCUACGCUUACAAGGAGUCGGAGCACGUCGCUAUCGCUCCGUGCGAACAAGGAGCAUUGCAUAUGGAACAAGGAAGCCGGGAAUAGAAUCCCGCGUGCUUUUUGUUUCGUGCGCUUUGCUUCAGGUCGUACAGAGCGGUAGCGGUGUGUCACGGCGUGCCUAUUGAAGAAUGAGCCAGUGAGUUCGUCGUUGUUGCUUGUCGAAGGCCUACGGGCCGAAGGCAGAGGGAAACCGAGUCUGAAUAGGGCAACAGUAAGUAUGUUAGUUGCGAGUCGCUGUGAGGAUUCGAGGGGCGCAUCGCGCUGCUCGCGUCUUCGCACGCUUGCAACUAACACACUUACACGGCAGCUGCGACGAGACCCGAAACCGGGUGAGCUUACCAUGGGCAGGGUGAACUUUGGGUAACACCAGAGGGAGGCCCGAACCCGUAGGUCGUGUAACGCCUUGGGAUGACCUGUGGUAAGAGGAGAAAUUCCAAUCGAACUCGGUGAUAGCUGGUUCUCCCCGAAAUAGCUUGUGGGCUAGCGCGUUGUUGCCCCCUGGGGGUAGAGCUACUGAUUGGAGCUUCCGGGAGCGAUCCUAGGGCCUCCAACCAAACUCCGAAUACCAGGUACGGUAGAACAGCGUAGUCAGUACGUGGGGGCGAAGCUCCACGGAACUAAAGGGAAACAGCCCAGAUCCCAAGCUAAGGUCCUUAAAUCUCGGCUCAGUGGUAAAGGAGGUGGGACGGCGUUGACAACCAGGAGGUUGGCUUAGAAGCAGCCACCCUUUCAAGAAAGCGUAACAGCUCACUGGUCAAGCUAUCCUGCGCCGAAAAUAUAACGGGGCUAAGCCGAGUACCGAAGCUGGGGGACGUACGCCGAUCCGUCGGCAUACGUCGGUAGGGGAGCGUUCCCUGCAGCAGUGAAGCCGGACCCGCGAGGGCCGGUGGAGCGCAGGGAAGUGAGAAUGCUGGCAUGAGUAGCAGGAAGGAAAGUGAGAACCUUUCCCACCGUAAGUCCAAGGUUUCCUGGGCAACGACUAUCGACCCAGGGUGAGGCGGUCCUAAGGCAAGUCCCCGCUUUGGUGGGGGGUAGUCGAUGGACAGCAGGUUAAUAUUCCUGCCCUCUCGAUCGUGUUCCCGUCGCUGACGCAUUGUAGUAGUCUCCGGGCCUUUUGGCUAUAGGUCUGUCUCGUGCAGCGCACGGGACGCAGGUGAAGCCGCAAGGCGGAUCCAAUGGAGGCGAGCGUGGUGCCCAGAAAAGGCGACGAUUAAUAGCGGUCGGGAUCCGUACCGACAACCAACUCAGGUGGACGGGCACAAGUGUGCCAAGGUGUACGGGAGAACCCUCGUGAAGGAACUAGGCAAAAAAUUGGCCGUAACUUCGGGAUAAGGCCUGCCUCGCGCAAGCGAGGCCGCAGCGAGCGAUGCCAAGCGACUGUUUACCAAAAACACAGGUCCCUGCGAAACCGUAAGGUGAUGUAUAGGGGCUGACUCCUGGCCAGUGUCAGAACGUUAAAGCGAGAGGUGAAACUUCUUCGGAAGCGUAGCUUUGAACUGAAGCGCUGAUGAACGCCGGCGGUAACCAUAACCGUCCUAAGGUGGAUUUGCUGCCUUAGUGAGGUGCAAGACCUCCUCCGAACUCCAUGCCAAUAGGAGAUGUAGGAGAAAAUUC